GACAGAGGCCUCAAGCGUUAGGCGGAAUCACUGGGCUUAAAGCGUGUGUAGGCGGAUCGUUAAGUGUCUUGUGAAAUCCCACGGCUCACCCGUGGAACGGCUGGGCAUACUGGCGAUCUUGGGCCAACUAGGGGCAACUGGAACAAGCGGUGGAGCGGUGAAAUGCGUAGGAUAUCGCUUGGAACGCCGAAGGUGAAAACAGGUUGCUGGGGUUGUGCCGACGCUGGAGACACGAAAGCCAGGGGAGCAAACGGG
rnacentral:rRNA from 1 species